AACGAACGCUGGCGGCAGGCCUAACACAUGCAAGUCGAGCGCACCUUCGGGUGAGCGGCGGACGGGUUAGUAACGCGUGGGAACGUGCCCUUCUCUACGGAAUAGCCAUUGGAAACGAUGAGUAAUACCGUAUACGCCCUUCGGGGGAAAGAUUUAUCGGAGAAGGAUCGGCCCGCGUUAGAUUAGAUAGUUGGUGGGGUAACGGCCUACCAAGUCUACGAUCUAUAGCUGGUUUUAGAGGAUGAUCAGCAACACUGGGACUGAGACACGGCCCAGACUCCUACGGGAGGCAGCAGUGGGGAAUCUUGGACAAUGGGGGCAACCCUGAUCCAGCCAUGCCGCGUGAGUGAUGAAGGCCUUAGGGUCGUAAAGCUCUUUCGCCUGUGAAGAUAAUGACGGUAGCAGGUAAAGAACCCCGGCUAACUCCGUG
rnacentral:rRNA from 1 species